rnacentral:rRNA from 1 species
AUGGGCUGCGCCGGAUCCACCCCUAAAUCUGACGGUCUCUCCUUUCACUCCGUCUAUCUCGAUUCUGUUAAUGCUUUCUUAGAUAGCAGUAAGAAGCUGAAAAAAACAAAGCCUUGGAAGCACACUCAGUCAAUUACACCAGCACAACUCAAACAGAUGCGCGAAGAAUUCUGGGACACUACUCCUCACUAUGGUGGACAGAAAGAGAUCUGGGAUGCACUUCGGGCCGCUGCAGAAGCUGAUUUAUCUCUUGCGCAAACCAUAGUAGACAGUGCUGGCAUCAUUGUCUCAAAUUCUGACAUGACACUCUGCUACGACGAAAGAGGUGCCAAAUACGAACUACCAAAGUACGUUCUGAGCGAGCCGACUAAUUUCAUCCGGGAGGAAUGA